rnacentral:lncRNA from 1 species
AUAUGAAAUUUGGGAUCGUUUGUAAUACAUAUCCUGGAAAUGCUAAAACAAAUGUGUUAAGAAAGAGGACUAAAUACAUACAUUUUUUUUUUUUGUCGGGUAAGAAAGAGGACUAUAUUCAACACGGAAAAGGUUACAUUGAGAAAAACAUAUAUCCGGUUUUAGGAAAACAAAAAAGUAUCAAAGCUAAAAGAACAUAUUCCAACUAGUUUGGCACAUGAACAAAAGCCUAUCAAAGGCUACCUAAAUCUCACAAGGAAAAAGUUGGCGAGGAACCAACAACAAGAAAAGAAAGAGAAAAAUAACAGAAGCUGAAAAAGGAACAGAAUAGCAGUAGCAACAAUUGAGCAUAACCUGUACUUACCCUUCAUCACCACACCCAAACAAAGAAACAACACCAAAAAUUCAGUAGUACUCUACUCAGUGGCGGAGCUAGGAAAAAUCUUCAGGGGGGCAAAUUAAAUUUUUUUUUAAGGAAGGGCAUUUAUAAUUUUUAAGGGGGGCAAAUUAUAAAAAUUUUCUAAAACUCUAGGUAAAAAAAAAAAUUCAAAGUGAGAGGGAGUUGCCCCCAUCUAUUCACCAUGUGGCUCCCGCCACUGAGAACUAUACUCGCACAAUUUUUUUGAUGCUAUUUAAUUAUUAGGAGUAGUGUUUAAGCAUAGGGCAGGAAUAAUACUUGGAAGUCCCAAGGUUUAUCCACAUGAAGGCUAAAAAUGCAAGAUUAGAUUUGUUGCAUUGAAAAAAUAUAAAAUAAUUGGUUUUGUUUUUUUUGAAAUUAGAUGUACACAAUAAAUGUAAAGUGGUUGGUUCAGUACAUAGUCUUUGUCCGAGUUUUGAUGUUUCAUUUCUUCUCUCUUUAUUAACCCAUCAAAUCUCAAGGCCGAUAAUCUUGGUUAGACGAAUUUUAUAAUACAAUUAUUUUGUCCUUUCACAUGUUGUUUCUGGAUUGGUAUGCCUUUGUACAUUUAUUUCACACACCCAUAGAGUGCAAUAAACUUAAGCAUUCCUUGUACCAAUUGGUCAACCAAUGCCCAACCCGUUGGGCCCUGCUUUCUACUUCAUUACUGGUUUCCUCCAUUUUGACUGGUUGAGGUAGAGAAAUUCAAUCUAGUUGAGAAUUAAACCCUAUUCCUCCUCUACUCUUCCCAGUUCGACCCGUGAGGCUUGAGCUCGACCGAUUGAGAAUUUAUGUUUGAGGUUUUUGCUUGCAUUUGACAGGUUGAACCUUCGGACCAAUCCAUCUGAUGCUUUUCCUUCUCUUCGACUAGUUGAGCAUAAAUGCUCAACCAGUUCGACGUUGUUGAUCUUUGCUUCUGCCCCUCUUCUAUAGUUUGACUUAGUCAAACAGGCCAAAUCCCAAUCACUCUUGGCUCGAUUCCUCGCCUCUUCCGCCCUCUUUUGUGCUCCAUUAGAUUUAUGAACAGUUAAACACACUUGAACCAAACAACGAUUAAGUAGAACAAAUAAUAUACGCAACUGUGUUAAAGUGCGGGAGAAAUAUACCGAUAAAUAGUAAUAAAAUGCAUGAAUCAAGCUCUAACUCUUACAGCAACGACAGCACCACAAGCUCAAACACUGCAAAAAUAAAUUAGCACCAACACCCAUCCUUCAACAGGACUCCAUCAAUACUUCUAACUCUUACAGCAAGAUCAGAUAUAAAUAUGAGCCACAUACCCUUUACCCCAAGCAACUUUAUGUUUAAUCACUGCGUUGUUUUAUCGCAAUUGUAGUAGAGUUUUGAAAGAUGUAUUUGUUUCUCAUUUUUCAAACGGACCUUAGGAUAGCCAAGGAAAAUACUUCCAGUAGCCUUUCUUUUAAUUUCCUGAAUUUCCAACCCUGCCAAACCACUGAAGAAGUUGAUGAUAGAGCUGGGGUAGCCUAAACAAAACCCACGCAUUCGCACAGAUUUCUAGACUGGGAGCACUGAAAUAAGAAAGAUGGUUUGCAGAUUCAUCACCACCCCAUAAAACACACAUCUCCAUGCUUUGGAGGUCCAACAAAACUCUCAUAAGCAGAUCUGCUGUUUUUAGUUUUCCAAAUAAGCAAGCCAACCAAAACACUGCAUCCUUGGUGGGCUGCAUUUCUUCCAAACUAUAGCCAGAGACUCUGGUUUUGGGAGUCGAACCAAUUUCCCACUGAUGUGAGGGACCUUUAUCGGGAGAAACUACAAAGGGUCAUAUAUCCAGAGAAGGGGACUCCUCCCUAUUUUUAUUCAAGGGUGUAAGCAUUCGUUAGAGUAUUUAGAAGUCUAUCACCUCAACCUCUUCCCAGCUAUUCGUUUCUUCUGGACACUCUCCUCCAACUUUUUUUCACUCCAGGCUGAAUAGAUAGUCAUCUUCCUUUAGAGGUCAGUCUUGUUAACUACAAGAUCUAAUACUAGGGACACUGAAUCUUCAGAGAAGCAUCACUCCCUCACUGAUCCUCCCAGAAAUGAGACCCAUUGAGAUCUUUGAACCAUUAUGGAAAUUUGGCGCAUAAUCCUGAUUUUAUUAAUCUUACUACAGUGAUAUCAUUCCACACCUGUUCUAGUGAAACCCAUUGAGAAUCAUCACGACCAUAUUUUGCCAGUAAUAACCUUUUUGCCACAGGCCUCUCUUCAAUCCCCAUCCCCCACCACCACUUCCCCAAAAGGCAAAUUAAUCAUUCAUUACUCUAAUUCCCUAAUAUUCAAACCCCCAAAAGCUUUAUUGCAGAUACUUGUCCCAUCUACCAAAUGUAACUUCCUCUUCUUUUCACAAUACUGGUUCCCAUCCUUACCAAUGUACUCUUGAUCUAUCAAUCUCCUAAGUCAACUCUUCCUGGGUCUUGAACAAUGAAAGUAGUAUAUUGGUAGACUAUCAAGCACUGAUUUGAUUAAAGUCAUUCUUCCCCCCAGUGACAGAUACCUCGUUUUCCAAGAUGCCAGCCUUGCUCUUAUUCUGUCCAAUAUAGGUAUCCCCAUCUCUUAAUUCACAUUUUGAAAAAUAUUUAAAAUAUAUAUCAUAUAAGCUACCUUAUCACAUAAUUUGUUUCUUUCUCCAAUGACUCACAAUUCUUCCUUAAUUUGCAAUAUUUAUUUUUUCUGAAAAGAAAAAAUCACAUGCCCUCACAUAAUUUGUGGAAUUUAUCAUUUUUAAAUAAAAAAUAUAAAGUCUUUCACUCCUAAUCACUAUAAACUAGUACAUAAAUAUUGGGAAUCAGGUUAACUUAAAAGCUUGAAAUUUCAAGGAUUGACCACCCUUUUCUAUGUUUGCUUUUUUCCAAAACUGAGCUUAUGAGCUCCCAAGGAAGCCUUAAUUUAUGAGUUAAUGGCUCUCAAAAAUAUGUAUAAUUCUAGACCUAUAUAUACAACUCAUAUGGCUAUGUAUAGGGUGUGGAAAAGAAGAGAUGUAGAGUAAGGUAGAGAGAGUGUGAGUAGGGAUGACAAUUUACCCCGAACCCGACAGGUCCCGCCCCGGUCUCAAUAAACGGAGGCGGGGCGUGGGUUGGAAAAAAAAUCAAAACCCGAUUAGUAAUCGGGGCGGGUUCGGGUUUCACCCCGCCGCCCCGAACCCGCUCCGUUUAAGUGUAAAAAGUCAAAAUUAUCCCCAUUUUUUUAGAAAUAUACCGUAAUAUCCUUACAAUAUAUAUAUAUAUCAAUAAUUAUAUAUAAAAAUAUAUAUAUAUAAUUAAAAAAAAUACUAAUCGGGACGGGGCGGGGGUGGGAGAAAAAUUCUCAACCCGUCACGGGUUUGGGACGGGGGUAGGGCGAGGAUUUUCUUAAUCGGGGCGGGGGUAGGGGAAGCCGAACCCGCCCCGUUGCCAUCCCUAAGUGUGAGGGAGGUGAUGGUUGCUAUGGCACUACCAAAUCACAAAUGGUAGAGUGAGAGUAAAGUGAAAAUAUAAGAGAGAGUAAGAGAAGUGUAAUAUAUAAAUCUUUCUCUAUAUUACUAAAAUCACUGCCACCCGAGGACAUAGGCACGUACCAAUCCUCAUAAAAUAUUUGUCUACAUGCGUGAGUAUUUCUAUGUGUGUGGUUUCUAUUCAUUUCUUGGCACAACAAUUAGUAUUAGAGCCCAAGUGGAAUCUCGGUUUUCUGCAUUUGUGCUCUAAAGAGUUUUUGAGAACACCAUCGUGUUCGUAUUGAGGUGAUAAAUAUCUUGGUUCAAACCGAGACCAAAAACAACCACACAUGCGCCAAUUGAGUAUCGACGCGUGAGUUCCACCCGCUCCACUUACCCCAUGCGCUGCAAGAGGUUGAAAAAGAGUGAGCUUCACUCGCUCAUGCAUCGCAUGCGCCCACGCAUUUCUGGUUCACGAACGUCCAUAAGUACUUCAUGCUCUUCACGCGACCUCAUCAAUGCCACGUCAGUGCUCUGUCAGCAAUCUAGUCAGUGCCACAUCAGCGCUCUGUUAAUAAUUCAGUCAGCCCUUAGUUAGCAAACAAAAUAUUCCAAGAAUAUUCCUUAAUUUGGAAAAAUUAUAAAUCAGUCUCUAAAAUUUGUAUUUUUUAGUCCUUAACUUUGAAAAAAUUAUAAUUUAAUCCAAAAAAAUUUAUAAAAAUUACAGUUGAGUUCCUAUAGUUUUGAUAAUUACAAUUUGAUCCCAAGACUUUCUAUUUUUUUUUAAUUUAGUCCCCCAAGAUUUUCUUGUAUUCUGAAUCUAUCUUCAAGGUCUGAAUUUGUAAAGAGCAUUGAAAUUUAGAGAUGGAUCAUUGGGAAUGUUGAGUUGAAUUGACCAAAAUUUGGAUCCGUUAGUGGAAUUGAUUGGCCGAUCGCCACCAUUGGAAUUUGAUUUGUUUGAAUCUAGAGUUUGGGCAAUACUCCAAAAAUUUGGCUAUUACAUUUUGUAGUGGAUUUGUUCUGGUACUCAAAAAAAGGGGGAUAUGGCACAGUAGUCAUGUGAUGACCCCUGACCCCACGUGGCUCCACACAGCACCGAGCGCCGUCAUUCCGAGUUUCCUUGACCUUUUUUUUCUUAAUUUUUUUUCUUUUCAUUUGCUGAAGCAAAACAUCUAGGGAAAAUUACACUUUACCUCCCUG